GAAUGCUGACAUGAGUAACGACAAGGGGGGUGAAAAACCUCCCCGCCGGAAGACCAAGGGUUCCUGUCCAACGUUAAUCGGGGCAGGGUAAGUCGACCCCUAAGGCGAGGCUGAAAAGCGUAGUCGAUGGGAAACGGGUUAAUAUUCCCGUACUUCUUACAAUUGCGAUGGGGGGACGGAGAAGGCUAGGUGGGCCUGGCGACGGUUGUCCAGGUUCAAGUGCGUAGGCU
rnacentral:rRNA from 1 species